AUUGAACGCUGGCGGCAGGCCUAACACAUGCAAGUCGAGCGGAUGAAGGGUGCUUGCUCCUGGAUUCAGCUGCGGACGGGUGAGUAAUGCCUAGGAAUCUGCCUGGCUGCUGGUUAUAACGUCCGGAAACGGGCGCUAUUACCCCAUACGUCCAGACGGCGAAAGUGUGGGAUCUUCGGACCUUCCGCUAUCAGAUGAGCCUAGGUCGGAUUAGCUAGUUGGUGGGGUAAAGGCCUACCAAGGCGACGAUCCGUAACUGGUCUGAGAGGAUGAUCAGUCACACUGGAACUGAGACACGGUCCAGACUCCUACGGGAGGCAGCAGUGGGGAAUAUUGGACAAUGGGCGAAAGCCUGAUCCAGCCAUGCCGCGUGUGUGAAGAAGGUCUUCGGAUUGUAAAGCACUUUAAGUGGGGAGGAAGGGCAGUAAGUUAAUACCUUGCUGUUUUGACGGUACCAACAGAAUAAGCACCGGCUAACUUCGUG
rnacentral:rRNA from 1 species